UUCUCCUUCAUCUGUAAUUCCAGCUGAAGCAGCCGCUGGCUUUCCUCCACACGAAAUCUAUUCUUUCUCGCUUCUUCCAGAUCUAUUACAAUCCCUCCUCGUUCCUUCAAAUCUUCUUUCAGAUUUGAUCAGAUCGUUUCUCUACUUGCAAUUUGAUGUUGGAUUUCUACUAUUUCGCUCUAUGAGUCUCUUUUGGUCGUUGUUCUUUUUUAUCGCCAAAUCUGGUUCGUUUUCGCUUCGGAUGGGUAGAUCUUGGAUGAGAGAAUUAUAAAGAAUUUGAAAAGAUUAUUGAUGGGUCAGGGAAUUGAAUUGUUCGUGGUGGAUUAGCGAGCUUUUCUUCUUUUCGAUGGCGAGCGAGUCGCUCGGAGCAGAAGACAGUGGACAAUCUGAUUAUGAGAAGAUAAUAAGCGGGUUUGAUAUUAUGAGUGCAUAUUUAACAUUUCCUGCAUGAUUGCUAAGAUAUCCUAUGUUAUUUACAUCAACAUGAUCGGUCGAGAGGUGAGGAUGGUGUGGGGCAUAUGAUAUUGUAAGGUUUUUUGGGCAUGUAUCGACCUUUGCCAUGACAGGUGCGCUUGCAUGGCAGGUCAACCACGCUUAAUAAAAGUAUUCAUUUUUUGGUUUUGGGGGGAGGCGGCCCUGAGCUUCUUUUUCAUUUUGGGCCGGCCUCCUCCUAUGGUUUUGUGGGUGUGUGUGUGUGUGUCUCUCCCUCUCUCCCUCACUCUCUACACGAUCCGUUAUUGGUUCUAUGAUCAUUCAGCCAACUAAAUGCUGCCUUGGACGUGGCUUUAUCUUUGACACAAACACUAUAUAAGGACGAGGCAACCUGAUUUGGGUUGGCAUUGAUGGGAUUGCAGUUCUAGAUUUCCAUCCGAAAGGUAUAUCAAUCUUCUAUGUCAAAUUUAUAACCCAAAAGUAUUAUUUUGUGUCUAAACUUAAAUUCUGCACACUGGUUUUAUGACUAUAAAAGCAUUAGGAUUUGCAAUAUACUAUUAUCAAUAUGAAUUUACAAGCAUGAAAAGCAUUGAGUUUCAACUAGAACAUGAUAUUUUUUCAUGCUGACAAGAAUUAUUCCAUUAAUUACAAACCACAAGAUGCAAUCUCCCGUGGCAUGCAUUCAUAAAUGAAGAGUAGAAUUGGUGGUACUUGCACGGUCAAUUUUGUAGUAGCCGUAUUCAAUCAGUCACUUAGGGAAUAGCUAUUUAUCUUUUUUAUGAAUUAACAAAUUUUAUUGAGACAAGUAGCAAAGCAAAGCCAAUAAUACAGGAAUAGCCAUCUAUUUUAACCUAAAUACUGGAAACUCUAUUUGUAAUACUGUUGUCGACCUUGACAUUCAUGUUAACAAAAGUGAAUUUGCAAAUCUCUGCCUGAAUCUUUGUUAUUUUUGUUUUCUACCGUUCAUACUUGUUCACAAGUUUACGGGUGUUUGUCCCGGUUUGUUAUCCUUGGGAGUGUUGUUAUUUUACCCACUGUCAAUGGUGGAUGUGUUUGUACAUUUAGGGGUUUGUUGUAUAGACGUCCUGUUGAGGAAUCUUGAUUUUGCAUUCUGUAAGCUAUUGUUGUUGUUGAUUAAAAGCUACUGUAUUUGGAGAAAUGUGCUCCUAAGGGUAGGAUUGGGUUUCUGCUGAUAUGCACAAGUGAGUUCUGGGAUCGGCUCUGGAUGGUUGGCUGUUUUUGCAGCAAGAUCAAUGAUGUUAUUGGUGGCAUACGGAAGACAUCAAGUGGACUGUGGCAGCAGGUCAUUAUUUCAACCCAAAGGAUGACUCGGCAUGGCUCUGUCAACUUCCAAGCCAGGUGAUGGGUCUAUUUUAUGGUGGAAAACAUUCUAUUCUUUUGUGGUGAAACUCCUGAGAUAUUCUAUUUUUUGAUGCAAUUCUUGUAAAUGCUCGGCAAUGCGUUGUCAAUUCUGCAACAUCUUUUGUGCUUGUGUCGGAGCAGAUGACAUCGAGAGCGCUAUGUCUCUUCCAGAUUAAUGUGUGCAACAGCUGCUGAUUACUACACAAUUGUCGUUUUCUUUUGUAAUUGACUUACCGAGUCAAGGUAAAAUGCUAGUCUUAACAGGAAAUUUGAUUCGCAUGCGUAGAUCCUAUUUGAAUAUCAUUUUAACGUUGUCAUAGUUUCUAAAGUGUGUAAUCAUGGUUUAAACUUUGUUGUUUGUACUUCGAAGUUGCUUUCAUGUAGAGCUACUACGGCUUUUGUUGGGGUUCUUAGCAUCAUUGAAUUUGUAUUGUGGCUUUGAUUUCUACAUUGAAUUCUAUUAUCAUAUUGUGGCCUUAGAUUUCUACAA